CCUACGGGUGGCAGCAGUGAGGAAUAUUGGUCAAUGGGCGGAAGCCUGAACCAGCCAAGUCGCGUGAGGGAUUAAGGCCCUGCGGGUCGUAAACCUCUUUUGCCGGGGAGCAGGGGUCCGGACGUGUUCGGGACGGGAGAGUACCCGGAGAAAAAGCAACGGCUAAAUCCGUGCCAGCAGCAGCGGUAAUACGGAGGACGGGAGGGUGAGCGGGAUUAAGUGGGUUGAAAGGGUGCGUAGGGGGGCAUUUAGGCCGGCGGUAAAAUGGCGGGGCUAAACCCCGGCCUGCCGUGGGACCUGGGUGCCUUGAUUGGGCUAGAAGUAUGCGGAUUCCGUGGUGUAGCGGUGA
rnacentral:rRNA from 1 species